UACGUAGGGUGCGAGCGUUGUCCGGAUUUAUUGGGCGUAAAGGGCGCGUAGGCGGCUCGUGAAGUCGGGUGUGAAAGCCCGGGGCUCAACCCCGGAACGGCAUCCGAUACUGGCAGGCUUGAGACCGGGAGAGGAGGGUGGAAUACCCAGUGUAGAGGUGAAAUUCGUAGAUAUUGGGUGGAACACCGGUGGCGAAAGCGGCUCUCUGGCCCGGAUCUGACGCUGAGGCGCGAAAGCGUGGGGAGCAAACAGG
rnacentral:rRNA from 1 species